rnacentral:tRNA from 1 species
GAGGCCUUAGCUUAAUUAAAGUGUCUGAGUUGCAAUCAGAAGAUGUAUAUUAGGAUUUUACAGGUUUUGAC